CCCCAGCGCGCGUCGUCCGGCCCUCUUCCCCACCGCGUGCAGGCAGUUGAACGUGCGACCACAAGCCGUUCAAUGUCUCCGCCGUGGACACGCCCCUCUACCUCCUUCUGGUUGCCUCUCAUCCCGGUGUGGCCAUGGCGUUGGGUUCGCCGCCACUGCGACCAGCAGUCCAACCCGGCCGCCCCAGGCCGUUCACUCGUCGCAGCUCCCAGGUCCCUACCCACCCCCCUUCACUGUUCUUCACUUCAUAAGCUUUUGCUGAGUGCAUGCCAUGUGUUUGCUAAAAUGUCUCAGUGCACUCGCCUACUAGUUUUGAUAUGUUCAUGUUCGUUUGUAGCUAAUGUCAAAUCUAGUUUCGCUUGAGGCAGGGACAAAGAAGUGAGCAAAAGGAGAAAUUGAUCAAUUGCUCAUUAUGCAGUGGUGGUUUUCCUAUCCACAUGUUGACACAACAAAUCAUCAAAAUGGGGGAUCUUGGGAAGCACUUAAACAAUCGGCCCAUCUGCUUUCCGCCGUCAUGAACACCGCCGUGGCGCUGCCCAUUGCUCUCAGUGGUCGUUCUUCCUCUUGUGUGGCCUUCUUCCCCUGGCAACUGCUGGCUCGUUGGCCGUCCUUCUUCUCCAUCUAUUGAAGUUCAUCCUUUUUAAUUGGCAACGUGUGUACAGCAGCAACGGCGGAUGAUCUAUCUCCCAUGCCUCCGUCCUCAAUCUCGCUGGUUUCUCUAUUUUAUGUUACGAUGGUAGUGACAUUGGAGAAGAAAGGUGUGUCGAGGUACAAAUCUUGAGUUUUUUGAGGUUCAAUGCAUUGCUGCUGAAAGCAUCCAGGACGACCUCGACCUACUGCCACUAGCUGUUGGUGCACCUCCUGUUAGCUCCUAGCUAUUACCUAGUGUUCUUAAUGCUACCUCUACAAAGAAGGAGUUCUCAGGUGGCGCUUCAACAAAAUUUGUUGUCUGAAUAUGUUGCCACCGCCGUGCUGAUUUCCUGUCGCGACCUUGUUGAUUCCCCGCCUUCGAACUGACCACCGCGGACUGUGGGCUGCACCUUCCACGCGCAUCCAUGUGACCAUGUAGAUGCACGUCUUCAUUGAGUCGCUCACAGCGCAUAUGUGUGUCUUGUGUUCGUGUGUGCGUGGUCGCGGCCAUGCUUGGCGUUUCGGCGUUGUCUGUGUGUGGUCUUGCGGGCGUCUCACCUCAAACGCAUCCCAGGACGGUGCACGAGUUGCUGAGGAAACGCCCAAGCCUGUGGCCUCUCGACCACAACUUCGUCUCAUGGAAGCUGUUGGAUGUGGACAGCCAGUACGAAUUCAAGUCUAAGUGGCUCAUCAAGGAGGAAAAGAAGAGGAACUCGAGUGGUUUCUCUAUGGAGAAGGGCAGAAGACAUUUUGCUCUGAACAUACUUGUUGAUAUGCCCAUGAGAAUGGGUACAUUUUUCUACAGAUUUUUGUGUUGCUGACGAGGGCUACACAACUUGUAUUUCUACCAGUUGAACUUAAGUGUGUCCUCUAUAAAGUUCGUGGAUGUGUGGAUGUUCUUUUGACAUUGAACUGUCAAGUGCUUGCAAAAUCUGAAGUGUUGAUCCAUCAGCAUUCGCAGCUUCGCACCUCAUUCUUGUAUGUUAUGUGUUUCAAGUGCUCAAUGAAGUUUAUGUUCUGAGGUCAUGUAUAACUACCUAGGCGUUCAUGUAUUACUAACCAGUAAGUACACCUGUUACUUCUCUCGCUCGUCUGUGAUAUUGGUGAAUAGUUCAAAUUCUUGGCCAAUUUUGAAACAUUCAAAUUUAUAAACGUGGUAAGUUAGAACAAAAAAGAACCCUUAGCCAAUUGCACUGAGGAAAAAAUAAGGAGUUCAUAUAUUACUAGUGCUAAAUGAUCUUCACGGACAUGAGUUCGUAUUAUCAUUUGCGAACAAUGCUCAACACAUGAGUUCGUACUGAACAAUGCUCAGUACAAACCUGCAAAAGAGCUCAGUUCAUACUAUCAUUUGCGAACAGUGAUGAAACAAUGCUCGGUACAAACCCGCUCAACGAAAAUUUGAGUUAAAAAAACACGAAAAAUAUUCUCUCUUUUUUAAAAAAAAUAUCAUUCUGUUCAAUGAUAUAAACCAUGCAAAAGUUUGGUGACUAUGAUGCCGUAAACCGUUGAAAAGUUUGUGUAAACACGCUUAGUACAAACUCAUAAGGACAUCAGUUCAAGUACUCUUUCUUCGGAACCUUUCAAAAUUACUCUAUGAAAAAUACAUCAGUACAAACACACUCCUACAUCAGUACAAGUACUCUGUUUUUUCUGAUGGGAAAAUAGCAGGAUCCGUCUCAUCAUAUUCAAAAUUACUCUUAAAUGGUUGCGAAGUAGAGAAAACGUUCAACAUGACUAAGUUUAGCAUUUUCGAUAGCUAUCCAAUGGUAUAUUAUUUGCCCCAUUUCGAUAAACUUAAAAAAAAACAAGUUCAAAAUGAAAUUUGAUCGUA